rnacentral:rRNA from 1 species
UGCUGUGAACUCGAAGAGUAGGGCGGGACACGUGGUAUCCUGUCUGAAUAUGGGGGGACCAUCCUCCAAGGCUAAAUACUCCUGACUGACCGAUAGUGAACCAGUACCGUGAGGGAAAGGCGAAAAGAACCCCGGCGAGGGGAGUGAAAAAGAACCUGAAACCGUGUACGUACAAGCAGUGGGAGCCUCUUUAUGGGGUGACUGCGUACCUUUUGUAUAAUGGGUCAGCGACUUAUAUUCUGUAGCAAGGUUAACCGUAUAGGGGAGCCGAAGGGAAACCGAGUCUUAACUGGGCGUUAAGUUGCAGGGUAUAGACCCGAAACCCGGUGAUCUAGCCAUGGGCAGGUUGAAGGUUGGGUAACACUAACUGGAGGACCGAACCGACUAAUGUUGAAAAAUUAGCGGAUGACCUGUGGCUGGGGGUGAAAGGCCAAUCAAACCGGGAGAUAGCUGGUUCUCCCCGAAAGCUAUUUAGGUAGCGCCUCGUGAACUCAUCUUCGGGGGUAGAGCACUGUUUCGGCUAGGGGGCCAUCCCGGCUUACCAACCCGAUGCAAACUACGAAUACCGAAGAAUGUUAUCACGGGAGACACACGGCGGGUGCUAACGUCCGUCGUGAAGAGGGAAACAACCCAGACCGCCAGCUAAGGUCCCAAAGUCAUGGUUAAGUGGGAAACGAUGUGGGAAGGCACAGACAGCCAGGAUGUUGGCUUAGAAGCAGCCAUCAUUUAAAGAAAGCGUAAUAGCUCACUGGUCGAGUCGGCCUGCGCGGAAGAUGUAACGGGGCUAAACCAUGCACCGAAGCUGCGGCAGCGACGCUUAUGCGUUGUUGGGUAGGGGAGCGUUCUGUAAGCCGUUGAAGGUGUGCUGUGAGGCAUGCUGGAGGUAUCAGAAGUGCGAAUGCUGACAUAAGUAACGAUAAAGCGGGUGAAAAGCCCGCUCGCCGGAAGACCAAGGGUUCCUGUCCAACGUUAAUCGGGGCAGGGUGAGUCGACCCCUAAGGCGAGGCCGAAAGGCGUAGUCGAUGGGAAACAGGUUAAUAUUCCUGUACUUGGUGUUACUGCGAAGGGGGGACGGAGAAGGCUAUGUCAGCCGGGCGACGGUUGUCCCGGUUUAAGCAUGUAGGCGGAGGUUCCAGGUAAAUCCGGUACCUUGUUAACGCUGAGGUGUGAUGACGAGGCACUACGGUGCUGAAGUGAUAAAUGCCCUGCUUCCAGGAAAAGCCUCUAAGCAUCAGGUAACACGAAAUCGUACCCCAAACCGACACAGGUGGUCAGGUAGAGAAUACCAAGGCGCUUGAGAGAACUCGGGUGAAGGAACUAGGCAAAAUGGUGCCGUAACUUCGGGAGAAGGCACGCUGAUGUGUAGGUGAAGCCCCUGCGGGUGGAGCUGAAAUCAGUCGAAGAUACCAGCUGGCUGCAACUGUUUAUUAAAAACACAGCACUGUGCAAACACGAAAGUGGACGUAUACGGUGUGACGCCUGCCCGGUGCCGGAAGGUUAAUUGAUGGGGUUAGCGGCAACGCGAAGCUCUUGAUCGAAGCCCCGGUAAACGGCGGCCGUAACUAUAACGGUCCUAAGGUAGCGAAAUUCCUUGUCGGGUAAGUUCCGACCUGCACGAAUGGCGUAAUGAUGGCCAGGCUGUCUCCACCCGAGACUCAGUGAAAUUGAACUCGCUGUGAAGAUGCAGUGUACCCGCGGCAAGACGGAAAGACCCCGUGAACCUUUACUAUAGCUUGACACUGAACACUGGUCCUUGAUGUGUAGGAUAGGUGGGAGGCUUUGAAGCGUGGACGCCAGUCUGCGUGGAGCC